rnacentral:rRNA from 1 species
GUGAACGCUGACGGUAGGCCUAACCCAUGCCAGUCGAACGGCAGCACAGUAAGAGCUUGCUCUUACGGGUGGCGAGUGGCGGACGGGUGAGGAAUACAUCGGAAUCUACUUUUUCGUGGGGGAUAACGUAGGGAAACUUACGCUAAUACCGCAUACGACCUACGGGUGAAAGCAGGGGAUCUUCGGACCUUGCGCGAUUGAAUGAGCCGAUGUCGGAUUAGCUAGUUGGCGGGGUAAAGGCCCACCAAGGCGACGAUCCGUAGCUGGUCUGAGAGGAUGAUCAGCCACACUGGAACUGAGACACGGUCCAGACUCCUACGGGAGGCAGCAGUGGGGAAUAUUGGACAAUGGGCGCAAGCCUGAUCCAGCCAUACCGCGUGGGUGAAGAAGGCCUUCGGGUUGUAAAGCCCUUUUGUUGGGAAAGAAAAGCAGCAGGUUAAUACCCCGCUGUUCUGACGGUACCCAAAGAAUAAGCACCGGCUAACUUCGUG